rnacentral:rRNA from 1 species
UGGCUAACUCCUACGGGAGGCAGCAGUGGGGAAUCUUGCGCAAUGGGCGAAAGCCUGACGCGGCCAUGCCGCGUGAAUGAUGAAGGUCUUAGGAUUGUAAAAUUCUUUCACCGGGGACGAUAAUGACGGUACCCGGAGAAGAAGCCCCGGCUAACUUCGUGCCAGCAGCCGCGGUAAUACGAAGGGGGCUAGCGUUGCUCGGAAUUACUGGGCGUAAAGGGCGCGUAGGCGGAUCGUUAAGUCAGAGGUGAAAUCCCAGGGCUCAACCCUGGAACUGCCUUUGAUACUGGCGAUCUUGAGUAUGAGAGAGGUAUGUGGAGCUCCGAGUGUAGAGGUGAAAUUCGUAGAUAUUCGGAAGAACACCAGGGGCGAAGGCGACAUACUGGCUCAUUACUGACGCUGAGGCGCGAAAGCGUGGGGAGCAAACAGGAUUAGAUACCCGGGUAGUCCAGCUGG